rnacentral:lncRNA from 1 species
UGGCAUCUUGCAGGCAUUUGAAAUUUCCUAACUUAAAACUAGUAGCAAAUAUCAACAAGCAAAUAGACGAAAGCAAAUGGAGGGAGAGAGAGAAAGACAAAGUUGGGUCCAAAUUCGGUUUUUGACCGCUUGUAUCGAUAUUUGGACCUAUUUUUGUUUUGUACAUGUCCUAGACUAAUCAGACAAUUAAUAAAUAAUAAAUAUAGAAAACAAAAGACUACAGGGGCUUAGGUAGGCCCAAAGAUGAUAAAAUACAACGUUAAAAUAAAUUUGGGAUUCUUGGCCCAAAAUCUUCAACUUCUUGGAGUUUUGAGUCCUUCCGACUUUAGGACAUGUACGCCUUUUUCGGGGUCAACUCGAAGGUAGCAAUUUGAGUUUAUGACUAACACGGACAAAUUCACAUGAAACGGACAAAGCAAAGGGAAAGGAAUUAGCAUAGGGUAGGAUUCAAUCUCUUGGCAAAAUAUUUUUAAAACACAAGUUGCAUAAAUGAGGCAAUCCACGUAGUAUAUACCAAAUAACUCAAACAAAUUUUAGCUAGAGGCAUGAUUACAAGUAUACGACAAGCAAUUAAUGAAUAGAAGAUGGAAACUGCAAACAUAAUUAAUCGACCAAAGAAUAAUCGGGAAGCGAGGAGACGCAAAAUAUUUCUCACAAUUUAACAUCACAAAGCAAAUCAAUUGAAAUACAAAUGGUAAUAGUAACACUGCCGAAAGUCAUUUAUUUAUUAUUUUUAUUUAUCUUUUUUUUUAAAGAAAAAAAAAAGAAAUGAAGGCCUCAAAUUAACAGCAUGACAACUAUGCACUUUCAUAACCGUGUAAGCAGCAAAAAUUAAACAUUAAUCAACAAGAUGAACAAAUACAGACAGAGGGAACAACAUUAUGUCAAGAUGAAUAUUCUCAUACUUAAGUUAUGAUCUUAAUCACAAAUAAAUCACACUUCAUAUUUUUUUUUAAAAAAAAUGCAACUAUAAAAACCCCUUCUUACAUUGAUCCAAACAUUGAAACAAUAAGAGAUUCAAUAAUUUUGAAGCAAAGUAAUAAACCUACAAAAUGAAGUCUAUCUAAAAGAACCCGAGAUUGGACUAUACAAAAACCCCAAACUCAAAGGUACUACCAAAUUACCUUGCUCAUAAUUUUAAAGUGAUUUGAAUUACUGCUUCAUCGACAAACACAACAUUUAAUAGGUUUGAUAUGAGAAAUAAUGCAGCAAACUUCAGUCCGAGAGGCAGACAACCAACGGACGUUUAAGAAAAAAAAACUACUUGAGAAAGUCACCCUGAUGCCUUGAUCACAUGAGAACGCUACUGACACAAACUCAGUCAACAGAGAGGUCACAGCAUUGAGCAUAAACCCAUGGAAAAGGCUUUAACUCGACAUUGCGACUCAAUUGCUGAAACGACUAAGAAACAUAUACACAUCCCAUCAUCAGCAAGCUUGCAGGUAUUAACAAUGAAUGGUCAUAAGACCAAAACUUUUCAACAUUUUGAAAAUAUCACAUGAGGAACGAAGGUGAGAGGAUACCGAAAAGGAGGGAGUAUUACAUGAAGUAAAUUAUUUCGACAGGUUCAUAUUAAAACUAUGACAAAACAGACCACUUUUUUGAAGCAAAAAUGAGAAAGACAGAUCACUUACUUAAGAGACCACAUCAGAUAAGUUAGUACGAAGUUCUAAUCUCAACCUCCUCGGACAUGGGUCUUGGGGAGAUUAAAUUAAAGGGUUAAAAUGCACAAGAAAGAGCUUUUACUGAUCUGUAAAUGAUUCUUUGUGAAAUGCUAAAGAGCAGCCCCGGAAACACUUAAACAAAGAUGACGAAUAGCCUUAAAAUACGUACAGAGAAAAAGGUGAUGAAUAUAACAUAAUGCUACUAUUGAUAGACCACGAAAUCUCUAACAAUAUAAGUACAACAUUAUCUUGUCCCCAAACUUAAUCACCAAACACUUCCAAAUAUGAAAGAGAACACUGUAGCAGACAAUAAAAUCACGUGAAAGGGAAGCUAUUACCUACUUUUUUGCAGCGAUACUGGAUAUAGACGAGUAGUGAUAGCGACUCCACAACCUCUGAAAACGCGAAGACGAAUGAAAGAGUGUAAAUCUGGAUAGCAACUUAAUUCAAACGUGUAACUGUGAAUCGCUCUCUUUUUUUUCGAAACAUAUUCAGCACACAUUCAAAGAGACGCUUUUGCUCGAAUUUUCCUUUUGCUAAGCAGAAUCAAACUAAAAUUCCUUUCUAUAAAUUUUUGUCCGUCUUCUUCACUAUGAAUAGAAAAGAAUAUAUAUGGGAGAGAGAUUAGGGUUUUUUCAGAUUUUUUGGGGGGAAAUGGAAAACGGAUAGAUCAAGUCCUAUUCCAAAAAAUUCAAAUCUUAAGAGAAAAGCUUCACCAUUUUUGGGGAAAUCUCUUUUUCUGGAGUUCUUUUACCACAAUCCGAAAGAGCAAAGGGGAACGGACAGCUUGAUCGAUUCCAUCAUCCGUCGGGUGUGACUGAGAGUGACGUUUGGAGAAGAAAACAAAGUUGCAACGUACUACCUGUACCGCUCGUCUCUUUAUGAACGUCGGCGUGGCUGAUUCCGUCAACUCUCUCUCGCGUGCGUGCAGGGUUGAUUCGGGGUUGCUUGGACGUUCACGCGUCGUUUUCCGUUUACUCUGUUCAAAAGACACUGAUGAAA